GAGUUGCUUAGGAACUUGCCAAAUUGCUGAGGCUGGCCUGCCAGAGUCUCCCAAGUCACUGGGAUUACGGGUGUGUGCCACUAUGCUAGGUUGAAACCAUGCAUUUGGAAGAGGGGGAAAAUGACAAAGUAAAGGAGAGUCAGAGGAAGACUGAAUUUCUGAAGCAGAAGCCCAUGAAGGCAAGGAGACUCAUUCUUCUGAACUCUGCGCAUUCUUGUCCAGAGAGGCUAUAGGUCCUGGGGUCACUGCAAACUCUUACCCAGCUCUGCCUUUUCAGGGCCCUCCUUCACCAAUAAGGAAGGGGAAUUUUAGAUUUCUCUAAAGUUCUUUGUCCUUUUGAAGGCACUACUAAAAUCCCUGCUGUGAACACAGGGUUCCCAUCCGCCUUGCCUCACCUCCUUGUUCCACCUGUUCCCAUAUCAAUCCAUUCUGCAGAUGGAGGCACAGAACACUUAAGUCUAGAGGCCAGGGGCAGAGUGGGCAUGGAGGUGAUGCUGACUGCCUGCCUAUCCUGUGCCCACACUGCAGGACAGUCUGAAGAGGAUCUCUGCCCGCUUCCACCUCACCCUUUCCUGAUAAGGAAGCUAUGAGCAUUACCGCCUGCCUAAGAGAAACUCCUGACUGAUGUGUGGAAAUGUCUCUCACCCUGGGAUGUGGUCACACGCCCUGUGUCCCAUAUCCACAGCUGCUGUGCCUCGCACAAGGUCCACAGCAGAAGCACAGGUUGUGUUUGUUGUUGUUGUUGUAUUUUUCUUUUUAUGGGUUGCAUUUUUCCCCCUGGGACAAAUAAAACAAGGCAGAUUGUCUAUGCCAGAAUUCCUUUGAACCGGAAAUUAGACUCUUUGCUCCAAGAGACAAGGGGAUUACAAAACACUUUAAAUGUCCUCCUUUUUCUCCUUUUUACUGCAAAGCUCCAAUGAACUCCAAACCCAGGAGUAUUCACCGUAACACAACAGAUUAACCAAAUAGAGCUGGGAAGUCAUUUGGGAUCUUUUUCCUUUACACAGCCUCAUGUGAGCACAGGGCUCGGGGGAGCGCGGGGAGGAGGCUGCCUUAGCCGAGGCGGGCGCAGCUUCACUAGGCGCAGCAAUUACUCUGAAAACAUCUGGAGCAUGAAAUUUUAAAACACCAGAAUUGCAAUGGCUCGAGUUUGUACCUGGGAUAUUUCUUGUGCAAUACCACACCACCAGCGAGGCCUGAAAGAAAGAGUUCCUGGUAUGUAGAUCUGUCCUCCUCCUGGACCUGUGCAGAAGCAAAGGCAGAGAUUUGAAGCCGUCUCCAGCAGGACACUCCAAUCCUCCCUGUCCUCCUGAUUCCCAAGCAGGAGGAAAUCCAGAAGUCACCAAGGACAGCUUAUGUGUUAGCCCCACAGAAGGGCUGCCCAGCUUUCUGCUAUUCUGUGUCCACACUGCAGGACAGUCUGAACAGGAUCUCUGCCCACUUCCACCUCUGAUUCACAGCUACAGGUUCCUAUGACACAAAAGUGCCCUGUCAGAAUACAUGCUCCUUGGAAUAUUUGCAAAAUAGGGUGAUGGAGGAAGAACAUCUGGGCCUCAGCUGCCAUAAAGCACGAGAGUCUGGAAAGCCCAUCAUAGUUGCAGGUUGCCACCCUCUUCUAUGCCCUUUCUGGUACCAUGUUGCUACUGAGAUCUUCCUCAUCUCCUCUCGGGAUCUUCAAAACCAUGCCCCUCAUGCAGAAUCAGACUACAUUUUCAUCUUUGACAGAGCCAAAGGACCCCAGUAGAGAAAAGGAUCCUGCUGAUUUGGAGCAGAUGCCUGAGACUGAAGUGCCCAGAAUGUGAUGAAAAAGGGAAAAUUUGGGGCUGGGGAUGUGGCUC